rnacentral:rRNA from 1 species
UCCGUAGGGUGCGAGCGUUAAUCGGAAUUACUGGGCGUAAAGCGUGCGCAGGCGGUGAUGUAAGACCGAUGUGAAAUCCCCGGGCUUAACCUGGGAACUGCAUUGGUGACUGCAUUGCUGGAGUAUGGCAGAGGGGGGUGGAAUUCCACGUGUAGCAGUGAAAUGCGUAGAGAUGUGGAGGAACACCGAUGGCGAAGGCAGCCCCCUGGGCCAAUACUGACGCUCAUGCACGAAAGCGUGGGGAGCAAACAGG